UCCAGAGUCAGAUGCUUAACUGACUGAGUCACCCAGGCACCCGGUUUAUCUUUUUAUUUACAGAGAUUAUUUUUAAUCUUCAUUGACAUGUCCUCUGAUACCCUUCCCUUUGUACCUCACCGCAACAGGCCCUACAACUUCUGGGACUGCUCCCACCCCCCCUCUCCCAGAUCGUCCCACACAACUCCGGGAUCCUCUUCUCCCCACACCUCUAGCUCCUUAGUGGGCCUGAAGUGGUGAGACACACAAGGGACAGGGGGGGAACGAGGGUAGUUGGCGUCUUUACUCCUAACUGCCGCUCUGUAUGUACUCUGCCCCCCUUCCCGACGGCCCCCAUCUCUUGCCCCUGUGUCCAUCACCCUAUCCCGAACAUAGUAUCAUCACUGGCUGGAACCAGAAGUCCCUGGAGAAAUUGAUACGUUCUAGCUUCUAAGCUUUACGUGUGAGCACAUUUUCAUAAUAAUAAUAGUACUAUAAUUUAGGUACACUGUGUGUCAGAUUUGCUUUUGGGAUUGCAAUUUCUGUGACUAAGGGAAAACAUCCUGAGUUCACAAUAGAGGAAAGCAAAUGAACGUUUGAAAAACAGCUGACUCUCAAGUUGAGGACCCUUGAGGUGUUAUAUCCUAAGACCAACAUUGGAGCUGCACACAGAAGGCGUCGAGGCAGCUGGGAUUGGGUACGUCCUUUUUUACCUCCAGAAAACUGAGUUUGUUUCCCUGAGUGAGGCUGGGGGCGCUCAGCCGGGUGUGUUCUGUUCUCUUCCCAGCUUCCCCUGCCAUGCGUCUCUCACUCUUGCAAGCUCUUUGAUGGAGGGGACGUCGCUUAGAGAUGAGAACCCAAAUGAGAAUGUCCUUCAGAUGCUGUCCAUGCUUGUCACCUUGCCUGAUUUCAGACAUGUUAUCCGGACUGAAGUUACUCUUCAUAGUAACCUCAAACCUCUAACUUACUGCUCACUGGAACACGACUCUUAAUUUAAACUUGCUGUUAUCUGUGGGUUCCGCCCUUCAUCUGCUGUUAAACAUAUCCGCUCAGGGCAGACAUGUUCCUCCAUUUGCCUCUAACACCUUUAUUUGCUUAAUAUGAAUGAACCCUAGACAAAGAUCCAGAAUAGUGGGAUAUACCUAUCAUAUAGGAUACAGUUCAUAACUUGGUUAAAAAUAAAGCAGGAGGUUUUGUUCUGGUUGUUUCUUAUGCUUGGUAGUUGCACUACCAAGAAAAGGUGAGUGACCUGGCAUUUCCAGGUAGACAUCAAAGGGGCUCAAACUAUCCAGGAUAAGAAAAUAGAGUAGAAUAAUUGGAGCUAAAUGGGCAACACAAGAGUAGAAGACCCUGAGGGGCAAGUGGAGGAUGUGACCGAGGUUAGACAUGGAAUUGGGGAGUGCAGUGCACAGAGAAUGCCUCACAGUGAAGUCCACAGUACGUCGUUCUGAAUAAAAGGUAGAUGUAGAACAGUGACAGGCUCUAGGCUCGUUUGAAUAGCUUAUCUUCGCAGAUUUUGAAACCAUCAACAACAGGUGGCAGGAUGGAAAGGAAAAAGGACACUGAAGCAAGUCCAAGGUAGAAAUGUCAGUCCAGAGUAGUGACAUAACAGCCAGCUUGAGCAAUUGGUGCAACACUCAAAUGAUGAAUCGCGAAGCGGUGGCUUGGGAAUAACAUUAAGGAUAAGAGUGAGAUUGACUGGCUUCUCUUUUCUGGUUGAUUCAAGGUAAGCAAGAUACUCAGUGUUUAAGACAAAAAGCUCCUGUAGGGUUUUGGGGAGAAUCAAAUUGCUAAAGCAGUGAAAAGUGAAGGAGGCUCAGGAUGAAAAGUAACAUGACAAACAGGAGCUCCAGGGGGUGUAAUAGGGGCUGCAAACGGAAGAAAGAUGGGCCUCCUCCAAAAGAAACCUCAGUUGUAGGAACAGGCUCCUGGAAUUUUAGGUAUGAGAUAAAGCUAAAGCAGAAAAAGUGGGACUGAGCAGGGCUCCAGAUUGAGAAAUGUCCGCUGUGUGUUGAGGGCAGAGGUGGAGAGCACGAAGGUACCAGAACGUGGAGCAGCUCCACUCCCGUACCCUGAAUGGAAGUAGCCUCUUGUUACAUCCCAUAGAUGAUCUGUUCCAGAACUCUUACAGUCAGAGUCCUUAUUGGCCAUCUUUUGGAGUCAAGAAAAGGAUUUGUUAGUAACAUGUAACAUUAACAGCUUAUUAAGGGCCAGGCGUUACUAAAGUGCUUUACACGGUUUUAUUUUUAGCUGUGAAUUGGAGGAGUUGAAGCUGCCUCAGGUCACAAAGUUGGAAUGUGGUGGGGCCAAGAUUUGAAGGCCAGUGGCCCAGUUCCAGAGCCCAUCCUUCCUUGUCUAGUUCAGUUGAAGGAACCCUGUUUUGCAGUCAUAAUCAAGUAAUUAUCUGGAAAAUCUGUCACUAUUCUGGAAGAUACUUCAGAAACCCCAGAGUCCUGGGUCCAAACACCCAAGGCUAAUAAUACCGCCACCACCCUCUCUGCAUACCAACUCUUGGAUAAGGUUUGGUCAGCAUAACAUGAACCCUAAUUCUUGUUGCCUCACAAGGAGGGUGCCCACAGGAGACAUUUCCGCUAAAAAUGGGCUCUUUAGAUAAAGGGAUCCCCCUCCUGGCUUAGAGCUGAAAUUCACUCUGACAGAAUAGGAGAUUUUUGGCAGUCUCCAUUGGUGCACAUCAUAAAGCUAUCCCGUUUUGGAUCUACCCAGUAGCCCAAAUGGAUCUCUUCUAUGUAGCUAAUACCACUUCUAAGAUGAAAGAAACCAUCAUUAUUAUAUAAAGUAGUUCUUUCAGGUGCCUGUCCUGUCCCCACAGCCCAGACUUUGAGCAGCAAGUGCUUGUUCAACUUGGUGAUAAUCCUGUGAUAACCUUUAUUUUCAACGUCCAUCCUUUCGCACUGAAAAGUUCUGUCACAGCUGCUCUAGCAGUUCCUUUUAUUGGCAUUUCUGUAGAUCCUGCCAUUCCAAAUACUGGGUAUAAUUGGUAAGGAGCCUUUGCACAUUUUUUACACACGUAUUUCUGUAAAUAUAGGGAGAGUAUAUACGUAUGAAUAUAUUUUAUAAAAAUGUGUGUUGUGUAUGUUUUAUACAUACAAUAAGAUUUUGACAAAGCCAA